AAACCAACCGGGAUUGCCUUAGUAACGGCGAGUGAAGCGGCAAAAAGCUCAAAUUUGAAAUCUGGUACCUUCGGUGCCCGAGUUGUAAUUUGGAGAGGGCAACUUUGGGGCCGUUCCUUGUCUAUGUUCCUUGGAACAGGACGUCAUAGAGGGUGAGAAUCCCGUGUGGCGAGGAGUGCGGUUCUUUGUAAAGUGCCUUCGAAGAGUCGAGUUGUUUGGGAAUGCAGCUCUAAGUGGGUGGUAAAUUCCAUCUAAAGCUAAAUAUUGGCGAGAGACCGAUAGCGAACAAGUACAGUGAUGGAAAGAUGAAAAGAACUUUGAAAAGAGAGCGAAAAAGUACGUGAAAUUGUUGAAAGGGAAGGGCAUUUGAUCAGACAUGGUGUUUUGUGCCCUCUGCUCCUUGUGGGUAGGGGAAUCUCGCAUUUCACUGGGCCAGCAUCAGUUUUGGUGGCAGGAUAAAUCCAUAGGAAUGUAGCUUGCCUCGGUAAGUAUUAUAGCCUGUGGGAAUACUGCC
rnacentral:rRNA from 1 species